GGAAAAACCUUAUUCUUUUGUUUCUUUCAAAAUAUUUCAUUCAGAUAAAUGAUUUCAUAAAAAGAAUGAUUUGGAUAUUUGUAUAAAAUUUGGAGAAAAUCAAAAUUUUAAAAAGUUUGUAACAAUUAUUUUUGGAUGAGAUAAGGCACAAAUAUCCGAUGAAGGAAGUUCACAAGGAUAAAAAAGAGGAUGACGACGAUGAUGAUGAUGUAACCCAUUGCCAAUAUGAAUCAUUUUCAUAAAUUCUUCAGAAUUCAAUCAAAGAAGAACCAAGUUCGUAAGUUUUUCUCUUCAUUAUAUUUCCUUUAUUUGAUGAUAUAUUCAUUCAUGCCUAGAAUUUUUGUAGUUUUAAUUUGUUGUUGUAUCUUUAAUAAAAGUUAAGUUGUUUGACUUUAAAUCGUUUAACUUAAUUAAUUAUUAGAUUCAAAACAUUUUCUUAUAACCUGAAAUAAGUGGUUUAUUCAACAUUGAAUGAAAGGAUAUAAUUAAUUUUCUCAAUCUGCAAACUAAAAAGUAAAUCUGCAACUAGUGGUUCAAACUUUUUAUCAAUUUGAAUAUCAUAUUUGGUCAAUAUUUAUCUUCAACUCAUUUCUGCCUGCAAAGGUUAAAGAAUCCACCGUUGGGAUUUCAAAAAGUGAUUAUUUUUCUCUGUCAAUUCAGGGACUUGCUUCUAUUAUGAAAGUGCAUACUGAAUAUAAGUAAACUAGAACACAAGGACUGAGGUUCAUAUAAAAGAUCCCAAUUGACUGCACAAGUUACAGGCGGAGAUGUUUCCAUGCAUUUUACAAUUUCUAUGCAGUUGACGUAUACACAGAUGCGGAUAAUCUUUUUAUAUACAGUUCAUAUUGGGUUUAAUAUGCAUGAAAAAAGGUGUGAAUGGAAAAUGGAGGGACACAACUUUUGAGAAAAAGACAUAUUGUUUUGGAAAAAGAGUGACUAUUCAAAUAGUUGUGUCUGUUUGGAAAAAAGACUCAAUGUUUCGAAUGAACAGACAUGACUCUUCCAAAGGAUACACCUUUUCGGAUAAACCAUUGCCACCUUUCGGAAGGGGUACUUGAUGGCUAUAUAAACCUGCAUUUAUCCACAGGUUUAGGUAUGAAAAAUUUUCUGAAUAUACAAACUCUUCUUGUCUUCAAAACAUUCCGUGUGAUCCAUCAAAUCGUUAAGUGAGUUCGAAGAGAUUUCAAUUGUUUGAGGUACCACUACAGUUGGUUUGUUUGGCCAUUUUAUCCUGGGAGGAAAAUUCCACAACCUCGGGUACUUGAGGGGAAUUAUUUCCUUAAGGACACUACGUGAAUUCCGAGGAAUUGGCCAUUUCUGUUUCAUCUUAAUUUCUGAAAAAUAAAACACACUUCUUUGACAGAUUAUUUUGAUCUUGUGUUAAGGGUGUUGUUGUACUUCAUAGUGUUCUUGUUUUAAACUUGAACUAGUGUUGAAGUAGUGUUGCGAAAAUGUAGAUUGUUUGUACCCGAAGACUACAGUCAUGGCAUAGAAACAAAGGCCCUCCAGUAGCUUCUGUUUUAGCAUCAUCUCAUGCUGGAUCAAUUACUCAAUUCCUUUGCCAAAUACUUGUCCAUCAACUCCACCAGCGCGUAUAUUUCACUUUUCUGGACCGAAUUAGCUAAAAGUUGAGGCUGAAUUUGGAAUGCCAAACCAAGUCCUUCGAUCAUGCAUAGUUCACUCUUAGUUGGAUUGAAGGAUGUGUGCAUCUCACGUGAGAUUUGUAUGUAUGACGCGUAUGUUUACUGUAUGACUUUAUGAUAAUUUAGUGUCUACUUGUACACACCCAAAUUGGAGGGUAUAGAUUUUUGAUUUUGUGAAUACCAGCUAUUGUUUACUCACAAUAUUACUGGAACUAGAGAGAAAAUGUAAGAAAAGGAGAUUGCUAAGUAUUUUGAGAAAUUAUCUUGCUUACUUUAUUACACUACAGAAUGGUGGUGUUAUAUACAGUUGUUGUGGAAUGCCAGCUAAGAGCCAACAUAACUAUAUAAUAACCAUCUCUAACUAGCUAGACACAUAAUAGAAUAUAACAAAAGAAUUAAACUGGAACCCUCCACAAGCUAUCAUAACGCACUACAGUCUACUUCAUCAGGACAAUUCUACACAUUUGCCUAACUCUUCAGUCUUCACCCCCCCUCAAGCUUGGACAUAAUAUGAAAAUGAGGACCCUUCCCAAGAAAUUUAGUAAAAGCAUCUAUAGGCUGCUCAAUUGAAGGUAUAUAAGAAGGAUUACUCAACCCAGACUGUAUUUGUUCCCUGAUAAAAUGACAAUUAAUCUCAAUGUCCUUGGUCCUUUCAUGAAAAAUAUUAGCAACAAUUGCAAGCAGAAGAACUAUCAGAAUAGAGUAAAACAAGAAGUGUAGUGUGGACUCCAAGCUCUUGGAACAACCUGUAAGCCAAACCACCUCAGCAGUAGAAGAAUCCAUAGCUCAGCCUCUGCAUAGCUUCUAUAAACUAUGGAUUGUUUUUAUUUGCAGGAGAUUGUUAGGUUGUGGAGCCUGAUUAAUAUGUGACGUACUGUUAUAUAUUAAUGUUCAUACUCCAAGUCAUUAAUAUAAAUAGUCUGUCCACCGUGGAGGUUACCCACGGGUGUUACCACGAAAUUAAUUCUCUCUCUCCUAAAGAACUCUCUCUCUAGUUUUCUUCAUCCUCUCCACAGGUUUAGUGUGUGUGAACUACUAAUCGAUCCUAACAGAGAUGAGGGAAGAACCAAACUAAACUAAGUAACCAGUGAUUGAUCUUACUAUUGAGACAUGAACCUCCAUAGAGGACAUCAUAAUACCCAAAUCAAGUGCACGUUUCACGUAUCUUACAAGUCUAAGAGUUGCAUUCAUGUGAGACACUUUGAGAGAGUGCAUAAAUUGACUUAAACACUGUACAGUAAAAGAAAUAUCAGGUCUAGUAGUAGUAAGGUACAACAACCUUUCAAUUAAUCUUUGAUCACCAGUAGAAUUAUCAAGAAGUGGAUCCUUUUGAUAUGAUAGUAUGUGAUGAUCAAACUUAGUAGAAGUGAGCUUUAAGUUCAACUCCAUGGGAGUGGAAAUAAAAUUGGCACUAGCCAAGCCUAUAUUUGCAAUAAGUUCCAAAGCAUACUUCUCGAUAAUGAAGAAUAAACUCCUUGCUUCUAGCAAACUCAAGCCCUAUGAAGUAUCUAAAGUCACCAAGAUCCUUGAUCUUGAAGGUUGGUUGUAAAUCAGCUUUAUUUUCAUGCAGCAUCUAAGAAUCAUUCCCUAUUAGUAGUAAGUAAUCCACGUAAGUAAGCACAAUGACUAUUUUGUCAUGAUGUUUCUUGGUGAAAAGGGAAUAGUCUCUUGUGGUUUGAUGAAAUCCUGAAGAAAGUAAAAUUGUAGUAAGUUUAAUGUUCCAUUAUCUAGAAGCCUGCUUCAAACUAUAAAGGGACUUCAACAAUUUGUAAACUUUAGCUGACCCUCCUGUAUGAUUGAAACCAUUUAGGACAGUCAUAUAUACCUCUUCAUUUAAAUUCCCCAGUAGAAAAGCAUUAUAGAUAUCCAUCUGAUGGAUAGUCCAAUGCUUUGCUACAACAACUAAAAUUACAGCUCUCAUUGUAGCCAUCUUAACUACAUGAGAAAAUGUUUCUUGGUAAUCAAACUCUUUCUUCUGGUUGUAGCCUUCCUUUUGGCCCCCAACCUAGCUUUGAAUCUUUCCACCUUACCAUUAGCUUUAUAUUUAACUUUAUACACCCAUCUAUAAUCAAUAGGUUUCUUUCUUUUAGGAUGAUCAACUACGGCCCAACAUUUGUUAUCUUCCAAAGCCUGUAAUUCAGUUUGCAUAGCUUGUACCUACCUUACAUAUUUGAUAGCUUCUGAAUAAGAUGUUGGUUCAAUCUCUACUGAAAAUUUAGAAGCAUAGAUUUGAUAGGCAGCUGAAAGUACAGUAAAAUCAAUAAUAUUUAUGUCAAAUAGGAGGUUUAGAGAUCUUAUUGGACUUUAUUACUAGAACAAAAGGAAUAGGAAGUUGAGCAAUAGGUGUAGGAGGUUCAAUAUGUGUGACUUCUAAAGAAGAAUGAUCAACUACUAAAGUAGUUAUUGGCUGAGUAGGCAGAACAAUAUCUGGUGCAACAAAUAAGUCUUCAAAAGAGAAAUGAGGUUAAGUGUGUCUUUGUUGGUCAGCAAUACUUUCUUUAAAAGGGAAAAUAUUUUCCAUAAACAUAAAAUAUUUGCUAAUAAAGAAAUAUGUAUUCACCAAGUCAUAUAUCCCAUAACCUUUCUGAGUAGUACCAUAUCGCACUAACACAAAUCUUACUACUCUAAGACUAAAUUUGUCCUAUCUAGUGAGGUCUAUGGCAAAAUACAAGCAUCCUAUAACUCUUAGAUGUGUAAGAGAAGGAUAUAUAACAUACAACACUUCAAAUAGUGACUUAUCUCCUAAGACAGUGGAUGGUAUCUUAUUCAAAACAUAAAUUGUUGCUUGAAUACAGAGGCCCCAAAAUCUUUAGAAAGUCCUCCUUAAAACUUAAUGGAUCUUGUUGUUACAAGAAUGCGUCUGUGUCUUAACUACCCCAUUUUGUUGAGGUGUGCAGGAAUAAGAACUCUCAUGUACAACACCCCAUGAUCUUGAAAUAAUCCUUUACAAUGCUGAUUAAAAAAACUCAAAUUCAUUAUUUGAUCUGAUUCUUUGAAUUUUUCAACCAUUUGAACUUUCCAACCAAAUUGAGUGUUCACUUUCACUAAAAAAUAUUUCGAUUAAGUGAUGACAUCGGACUUAAGUUUCAUCAUGAAAAUCCAUGUCCAUCUUGAAUAAUCAUCAAUAAUAGUCAAAACAUAUCUCAUCCCAUCAAAUAUUCCAUAUUAUAAGGUCCCCAAACAUCCAUGUGAAGUAACUGAAAAGUACAAGUAGUUCUACUAAUGCUAUGAGAAAAUGGAAGUCUAGUCUGUCUAGCAAGAGGACAGAUUUCACAGUUAUUCAAAGUAAAGGCAUGACCGAGAUUAUGAAAAAAAAGGAAUGUUUCUUAAGACACUCAUAGAUACAUCUUUGGUGCCAUGUGACCAGUGGCGGACCCUGAAUUUUGUGUAAGUGAGUUCAAGUUACAAUGAACCAUAAUGGUAAUCUAGAAUAAUAAUAAUUAUUAUUAUUAUAUUUUAUUCCCAUAAUAUCCCCCAAAAAUUAUUUUUAAGGUGGUAUUUUUUAUUCUAAAAUAAAUAAAAAAUAUGUGCGUAUAUAUAUAUAUAUAUAUAUUCUCUAAUACUUUUAAAAAUAUUUUUUUGGAGGUGGUGUUCUUUUUAAAAGGAAAAAGUAAUUAGUAGAUAAAAUAAUUCUCUCUUAUCUCAAUUUAUGCGGCAUAUUUUACUUCUUGGGAUUCAAACAAGGUAAGUUUGACAUAAAUUUGGACAUGAAAUCUUCAAAUUUUUGAAAAUAAAAUUUAUAUAUUUGAAAACUACGUAAAAAAAAAAUUAUAAGUGGCAAUAACAAACUAUUCAAAAUUUGAAAAAUAUAUGAAAAAGUUAUGGUCAAACAUAGACAUGUUUGAACCUCAGAAAGUUAAAUAUGCCUGUCUCCAACAUAAUUUAAAUUCAUGGAAAAGAAAUUUCAACCACAAAUAAAAAUACGAAGAAACAAUAAUUUUAUUGAUAAACGAAUGUGGGUACAAAUUUAUUCCUCCUUGAUUCUUCUCUCUUGAUUUUCUCCAUAAUUUGAGGGUUGUUAGUGGCGUAUUUCUCGAACGUAGGAAUAUUUGGAUUUGAUCUCCUUCAUAAUUCGAGGGCAAUCAGUAGCAUAUUUGAAUGUAUAGGAUCUGAUAUGGAUUUCUCCAUAAUUCGAGGGUCGUUAGUGGCGUAUUUCUCAAAUGUAGACAUAUUUGAAUUUGAUCUCCAUGAAAGGAGGUUUUUUGGCGGUUUUCUGGAUCUUCUUGAUGUAUUUAAUUAUCAAGAAAAAAGGGUUUUGAUCUAUAAAUAUCCCAUGAAUUUAUUGGGACUUUGAAAAUACGAAUAUCUCUUUGUGAAUAUCCCAUGAAUUUCUGAGAUACUGAAGAUGCCUUCUCAAGAGAAUAUUUGCCCCUUUAUAUAGGCAUAAUUCAGGAUUUAGGGUAAACUAGACUCUAAGAACUCUAACAGAAUUUGAAUUUUUUUGUAGAGUCCACAAGUUUUAGAUGUCAGCAAUGCAUACAUAAUGAAGGCAACAUAUAAAUGAGAAUACGUAAAUUAAGAUGAAGAGAGUAACAUUUCCUAACAAAAGGUAUAUCAAAUUUAACUACUAAUUAUAAGGUUGAAAUUUUUCAUUUAUAGAUCUUCAAUAUAAAAUGUUAUUAAUCUUAUGAACAACAAUUAAAAUAUAGAAAUUUCAAAAAAUCAUAAAUAAAACAAUAAAAUAAUUUAACAAAAUAAUAAAUAAAUAAAGACAUACUAACUAAUUUUGUAUACCAAGAAAUAAGGAAAAAAUAUACAAACUUUAUAUAUUGCAAAAGAAUUUUCAUUAAGCACAGUAAAAAAUAAGCUAUAAAUAUAUGACCUAAAAAAUUAUUAACAUUUAAAACCGAUCUCAAAUAAUAAAUUUGUAAGGAAAUUGAAAGAUUAAUAAUUUUAAAACAUUAAUUGCCAUCAACUUCUAACUAAAUCUGGCUCUAUAGUUAACCAAAGAAAAAUCUAGCACUAUAAUUAAUUUUGAAAUCCGGGACCCACCACUAGUAACCUAAAAAAGUCUACAAAACUAAAGAGUUAAAAAAUAUAGUCUUCAAGGGGAAUCGAUCCCAAGACUACUAGAAAACAAGGCCCACUUCAACCAACAAGUUGCGCUUUCACUUCGAACAUAGUGGGUUUAUUUUUGUUACAUAUACGAUUUUUCAGAGAAUUAAUACAUGUAAAAAGAAAAAAAAAUCAACAAAGCGGGUUCAGUUGAACCCGCUUGAACCAACAUAGGUCCGCCACUGCAUGUGACUACUUCAGAUUGUAAUGUUGUUGCAAAACAUUUUUGUGAUCCUACACCUUCAUUUCUUACUUGUGUACAGAAAGUGUAAACCCUAACUGUAACACCCCAAUUUGCUGACCCGGAAUGCUACACGGUGCUCACGACCCUGUAGGACCACAAGUUAACCCAUGACUGAUAUCCGUAGUUGUAUACUGCAUAAUAUAACUUAAUAAUGUGGAAACAUGCACUGAAAGGCCAUAAGGUUCAAUACUCAACAUAACAUGGAUGAGAUAACAUCUGUGGGGUAAUAUAAUACCCAAAACAAAACUGUAAACACUGAAGGCUGAAACAUAAUAGUCUACAUCUAGUCUAAAAACCUCUACUAUCUGAAUAAUCUGAAUAAGGAGUUGAUGGGACAUGUCCCCAACUAACUCCAACUAAUAACUAGUCAAUGAAAUAGUGUAGAAAUAAUCAUGUCCUCGAAGGAUGAGGACUCACUUCUAUUCUGACUGUUGGGACUGAAAUCUAUUGCUGAUCUGGAACUCAUGUCUCUAAACCUAUGAUGUAACAUAAAAAGAAAGCACCAUAACGCAAAUGCGUCAGUACAAUGGAAUGUACUGAGUAUACAUGUAAUGUAGGCUAUAUGCAAGGGUUAAUAUGCAUGAAUAAUGCUAGUUGACUGUCUAACAUGGAUGCGAGAAUACAUACACAAAUACGUAACUGUAACUGACAUUGUGAUAUUGUGAUUACUGAAUCUGAAUACCAAUGACAUGAUGUACUAAUAACUGAUAUAACUGAUAGCAUAAAUAGUUGUAUCUGAAUGCAACUGAUAACAUGGGUGACUGUAUCUGACAGUCCUAAAUCUGAUGAAACUAUCUGAGUUCCUUACUGUAUCUGAGUAGACUGUAGCUGACAGUCUUAAAUCUGAAGAACUAUCUGAGUUCUUUUACUGAGAUUGAUACUGAAACUGUGGGAGGUAGUAUUUAACUGACAUGCAUCUGAUACUCCAUUAUGGCUGAGUUGGGGUCCAAUCUGUAACUCCAAUUAGAAGGGUGUCAAUACCGCUUCACUGGUAAGGAUAAGCAAUGGGCGACCCUUAUCUGAUAGUAUCCCUAAAAGAGAAUGGUGGGGCCCUUAUCUGAUAGUUCUUAUCCACCUCAUCAACCCUCAUCGGACAAUGUUGAUGUCUCAACUUAUGCUGGCUACAUAGUUCUGGAACGCAAGGAUGACUUUUAAGGAUCACUCCCUAUUUGAUAGUGUGUGUCCCUAUCUUUGGUUUCACUCGGUGCUAAUUCCUACUCCCAUCUGAAUGGACACUAAACAUGAUUUACUGAACUGAACAUGAGCUGAGUUACUAAGUUUUGUUGACUGAUGGAAUAGUAUUGAUAUCUAACAACUGACUGAGUCAUGAGAUCAUGGAGAUUUUUCCUGAGUCAUAAGACUAUCUGAAGUCUAAGUAUUCAUAGCUUGACUGAAAGUAUGAUGAAAACAUGACAUGACUCUAGGUACACAGCUAAUGUUUCAGGUACAAGUACCCCCAGGACUCGGUGGAAGAAAACUGACAAAGCAUGACUUACUUGAAUACAUAAUAAUCAUCAUAAUACAUUUACUGAAGCAUUUCAUCAAACAUGUGAUAGGCAUAAUCUUAUACGUAAAUGGGGAUUUCAUGAUAUCAAACUAGUUGGGCAUUGUUCCUUCAUCUAGGCAUUUAAUCAAACACAUGGUAGUCAUAGCACAUGUAGACAAUAUUAUACAACAAUUAAUCAUCAUGAUGCAUCUCUAAUUUCAUCAUCUAGGGUUUAUUCAUAGGUUCACAUGAAUAUACAAAUCAAUUCCACAUAAAAUUGAUCACCCAACAUAGAUUUAAAUUCAAUUGAUCAUUCUUAACAUAAACAAAACAAACCCAACACGAAAUUCAUAAAGAAAUCCAUAAACUUAAACUUAGAAAAGAGAUUCUUGGGUUUCAUGGAUGAAAGGAUUCCAUGAAUGAACACUACGCAUACCUUGGUUCAUGAUUUCGUGAAGACUGACGGUGAAACCUUCUUGAAUUUGAAUCCCCAAUAGAAACCCUAGCUUGCUUUUAAGAGAAACUUGAGAGAAAAUAGUAUAUUUUGGGUGAAGAAUUACUAAAUCACAUGUUAUUGGGUUUAAAUAGGGGUAGGAAAUUGACCCUUUUAACCCUAGAUGCGUCAUUUAAUUUCAAUAAAAUUUUCCCGAAUUGGACCCCUGGAGCGACGCAGCGUUAUCGCCCUGUGUCACUGGAAAUUGAUAAUUAAGAAAUUGAGGGAUGGCGCGACGCAGAGCCAUCGUGUUUCCCCUUCCUUCGUGACCUGAAACUUUGGCGCAACGCGGGGGAAGUCACGCUGAGACACUGGAAAAAGGACAAUUCUAAAUUUGACUGCUGGCGCUAUGCACCAUAAUUGCAGACACCUACUGGAAAUUUCCAAAUUCCAUUUCCUCUUGUGUUGCGGCAUGCCACUGACUAAUAUGGCUCUAUUUUACGAUGGGAACUUGAAAUAGUCAUAGCUUCUUGCCCGGUUAUUAGAUUUAAGCGAAUCAUAUAUCGAUGGAAAGCUUAUUAAAUUUUUCACAUGAAAAAAAGUUCAAAUCUUAAAAAUUCCUCAGGGAAUAAUUCUCAUUCACUUUAGAAGCUAAUACUACGCAUUCUUGGUACGAAAUUUGCUAGAAAACUUUGGGGUAUUACACUAACUUUCCCAGAUAAGAGAUCUUGAGACUCACAAUAUUUUGAAAAAAUGUGACACAACAAUUCAAAUCUUUUGUCACCUGUGAGACUGAUAUAAGAUUGAACUUGAAUGGUGGGACACAUAAGGCUUGUCUAGAAAAUCAUUUCCUAAAUGGCAAUUUCCAAUAUGUGACACCCUAGCUGAAUCCCCUAUAGGCAACUAUACAUUCCCUACAUUCUCUAUCAAAUCUUCAUCUUAUAAAUAUUUAGGAUCACCUGUUGUCAUGACCCAAAAAUAAGGAUCAUGAUGGCACUUAUUGAGGCUAAACCUUGACAAGUAAUCUAAUCACCUAAACUAAUUUGAAAUAGAAAAUAUCACUAUAUCCCAAGGCAAGAAUUCUAGAAUAAAGUUGAACCAACAUACAUAAUAAAUGCAGGAGUCUGAAUGUCAAAAUAAUAUAUAAACCAUCCCAAAACCUGGUGUCACGGUGUAAGAAUAAUCUACAGACAACUCAAAGUCUGAAAUUACAACUGAUAAUCUGAAAAAGGAUACAAAUCUAACUCUAAAUACAAAAUAAGACAUAAACUAGAUAAGAUGGGAUAGAAGGUCGACUCUAAAAGCAAAAGGAGGCAACUACCUCAAAAAUAUCCAAUCACCACUCAAAAAUCAGUUGUCGUGCGGUACAUUUAUACCUGGAUCUACACCGAAAAGGCACAGUGGAAAAGGUGAAGGUGAUUCGAGAUAGUCUUAAGACUGCUUAAAGUAAGUCCUAUGAGGAUAUGAGGCGUAAGGAGUUGGAGUUUAAUGUGAAUGAUUUGGUAUUCCUGAAGGUAUUUCCCAUAAAUGGAGUGAUGAGGUUUGGAAAGUAGGGGAAGAUCAGUCCCUAUUAUGUUGGUUUGUAUCGUAUUUUGAGGCUAGUGGGUAGCGUGGCUUAUGAUUUGGAUUUGCCUUUGAGCUUGGGUUCCAUUCAUCCGGUCUUUUAUGUCUCGAUGUUGAUUAACUACGUAGGUGACCCCUCUUUGGUUAUUCCUUUGGAAAGUGUUAGUGUCUUGGAUUCCCGAUCAUAUGAGGAGGUCCCAAUUGAGAUUUUGGAUCAGCAAGUUCGCCGAUUACGAAUGAAGGAUGUGGAUUCGAUAAAUAUUCUAUGGAGAAACCAAAAGUGUGAAUAAGCUACUUGAAAAGUCGAAGAGGACAUGAAGUCUAAAUAUCUAUUCUUGUUUCCUGCAACGGAUAAUCGUGCUUGAGGUAUGUGUAUUCGUUAACAUCUUUGUUUUUUGACUUUGUUAAGGGAAAUUAUGAUUUCCUUGAUAUCUUUGUUUUUUGUCUUUGUUGAAGGUAAGUGUGGCUGUGCUCUGUGUUAACUCGUAUUAAUGAAAACCUUAUCCCAUCAUUAGUGGAUGAAUGAUCCUAAGAGAGGGAGAAUGUGACACCCCAAAUUUUUGGAACCUGAAAUUUUUUAUUUUUUAAACUCAUUUCCUAUACUACGACUCUCCCUACGAGUAGUAGGGUGUCAUACGGGUCUUAAAAGCCUACUCGUAGCCAAACCAAAGUGCUUGCCUGAUGUUUCCGUUAUGACUACAACUAGAGGUUACGAGUCGUAAAGACUCAAAAUGAGUCGUACGGUUCCACCAUAUCCAAACUAGUGUGAUGCCCAAAAUAUUUUAUCUUGACUACGACUUAGACACUAUGAGUCGUAGGGUUACCUGACGAGUCAUGUGGUGUGAACCAUAGGGUUACUAGAAAAGGGUCCUUAAGUUACUGUCUUGACUACGACUCGUGGUGAUGAGUCGUAAUGUGUCCUCAUGAGUCGUACAGUGACCUAUAGUCACUGGCGACAAUUUUUUAGUAUUUUCAUUAAGGGCACUUUGGACAUUUCACCUCUUCCCCAAUAGUAACCCACGGCUUAAAACCCCUUUAGUUUAUCAUUAUCACUCUGAAACAAAUCAAAAUAACUUCUCAACUUCUCUCAAAUCCCCAAGGUCAAAAACACUUGGGGUUUCCAAGAAGUUGAUCAAUUAGGGCUCUCAAGGGUGAUUUCUCUCCACAGUUGUGAUACUUUCAGGCAUGCUACUCUUCCUCAAAUCUUAUUUUAUGAAAAGCAUGUGUUUUUAAUGAUUUAAUUGUAUGGAUUUAAAUGUGAGUUUUGUCAUGGUUGAGGGUUUUGGAAUGGUUGAUCUUGAAUUAUUUUUCCAUGAUUUUCAUGAGUUGUUCAUACUUUGAAUUGAAUAUUUUAAACUAAGAGGGUGCAUCGGUGUGGGAAUUGGAAUGGGGGUCGAGGUAUCCCCCAAAUUGUUGUUUUGAACUUGGAAUUGGUUUUGAAUAAUUAUGUUCCCUCAACCCAUUUGUGAAAUUGAAUUUAAAAUAUGGAUUUGUCACAUGGUUUAGCUUACUUACCAUACUAUUGCAUUAAAUAAAUGGAUAAAAGGUUAAAUAUGGAUUUUGAAGGUCGUGUUGGCUAUGUUUGAUUGAAUGAACAACGGGGUCGAGGCAUUCCCCCAAUUUGAUUUGAUAAACUAAAAGAGGUUGAGGCAUUCCUCCAACUUGAUUUAAUGAAUAAAGGGGGUCGAGGCAUUACCCCAAGUUAAUGGAAUUGUAAUGGCAUGAUUAUGGGCUUGCAAGUUAAAUGGUAUGACGAUACCUGUGGUGUGCCUUAAUGUAUAAUUCCUUGAUUAAUGAAUGGGUUACGUGAAACUUUUUUUGAUUUGGGCUUAAUGAGGGUUAUGUAGCUAAUCCAUGAAGGUGUGGUCUUGAAUGACUUGUACUGGAAACUUGUGUUUGCCUAUGUGAGGGUUUGUCUUGAUGAUCGUGUGAAUAGUUCACUCUAUUGAUACAUAUAUAUUUGUAUCUUGGAUUGAUGUAGGGUUGGGGAAUUCCCUGGUCUUCCUUGAUACCUCCAGUUCAUGCGGCUAACAUAAACUGGGGCUUUUUCAAUAAGGGGAGCUGAACCCCUAUAGCCCGUGGGGGUCGAUUUAUGUUAGUUGAGCUACAUAAUCUAGGAUAAUGUUUUACUAUCAUGCUAAACCUUGUUCCCUACCCCAGCAUCUAUUGUAUAUAUAUAUAUAUAUACAUGUAUAUGAAUAUGCACAGUGAGUUUUAAAUUGGAUUUUUGACUGACAUUAUUUUAUCCCUUCCCUGAGUUACAUGCUAGUGCUCAUUACACUAAUCAUCUCUGAAUAUUGUAUCCUCAUAAGAUACAGGGUCCAAAGGCAGUCCUAAUUUUUAUGUGCAGUGUUAGGUAGAUCGGCUCGAUUUGUCGAUCGUUGUGGUGAAGUGGUGAGCUUCCAUUCUCCGGAAGACUUGAUUAUUCAAUCUAUUUUUCCUCCAUAAAUUAGAAGUGAAGAAUUCAUAUUUACAUUAUCAUUGUCAUUGUCAUUAUCAGGGUUGGGGCAUGUCCCAAUGUAGGCUAUUUUUGAAUUAGUAGAGGCUUUGUGGAUAUUGCUUUGGAUUGGAUAUUAAUGUUGACACUCUUAGGGGACUUUAAACUUAUUUCUUUCUAUUUUAUUAUAGGUUUGAAAUUCAGCCGUUGUUAGGUAUGUUAUAUUCUGUUUGGAUAGGCUAAAGGGUGGUCUCCGGUCCUUGGUGGACUUGAGAUACCCGUCAAGGCUAGGUCCUAUUUCGGGUCGUGACACCAAAGGUCGACCUGCAGUCAUUAGCUUACAAUUUUUGAGAGAAAAAUAAAGAGCACAAGCGUUUUACGAGGUUUCUUCAUCUUGUAACUCAACUACUUCGUAUUUUGGUAUGAUUAACAUUGAUUCUUAUGUUUUUCUUCAGACUAUGAGUAGCUAAUACCUUUGAUUUGGGGUUAUAGUAAGAACAUGAUUGUUUAGUAUUUUAUUCAAAGCAAUGAAGUUUGUUUCUCAUUUAAUUGUGCUUGUGUUCUUGAUUUACUAUUUUAAUGUCCGGACAACAUUAGAAUAAAUAGGUAAUUCUUGCAUUAACUGACCAUGGGAAUGUAAGGAUAGGACGAAGAAAAUGAGAAAUAAGAUCAUCUCUUAUUAAAUUUAGUGUUGAUUUGCAACUAGGAUUUCAAUAUACCUAGUUUGACUUAUUUCGGCUCAACAAUAUAGUUGUGAGACUAGUUUGAAUAGGUAAUUUAGAGAAUGGACAUUUCUGGAUCGUAUACUUAACCCCAAAACCCGCAAUGCAAGAAAUAAAGUUCAUUGAGACAAAUAAAUAUUAUACAUGAUUGUGGUAAAUGUUGUAGUCCUAAAAUUUCAUUCAAUAUUUUUUACAGCCUUGUUCAAAAUUGUGAUUAUCUUAUUUUAUUUUUUUGUACACUAUUAAAAAUCUAUAAUUUCACAAACCCUCUUGACGAAACACAUCACUUGUCUGAAAUACUAUUGAAAUUGGAAUUAAGCAUACUACUAAGCGCAUACUCUCAGUGGGUUUGAUAUUCGGUUCCUAAAGAGCCACAAUACUACUUGUUAGACCAUGUACACUUGUGUAUGCGGUAGGCUGCAACAAAUAGUUGGUCCGAAAAGAUGUCAUUAAAUUGUAAAUCAUUUGAAAUUUAAACUUUGUUUUUUGGCCAAAAGCAUCGUCAGGCCCCUAAACUUUACACAAACUUUCACUUUAGCAUCUAAACUAGACGUUGUUCAUUUUAAACACUUAUACGAGCCUCCAACUGUAUCAUUUUGACACCUUUUGCAUAAUCAGCUAAAAUUACAAAGUGUGUGUAAUACACUUGCGGAUCAUAUGACAUGCUAACCAAUUAAAAGAGCAUAUGGCAUUUUGGGUGAUAAAAAUAUUAUAAAAAAAUUAUUUCAUGAAGAAAAAAAUGUAAAACUAUUUAGAUUUAUUCAAUUAUUUUAAAAAUAAAUUAAAAGAAAAAACUAUAUUUUGGAAAAAUUAUUUCCAUCCACAUGACUUCCUCCUCUAUCGUAAAAAAAAAAAAUUCGCCAAAAAAAGAUUCAUAUUCGAUUCUCUUUUCAGUGAACUUCUCAUGUUUCUUUUUAGAGUUGAUAAUUUUAAGUUUAGUUAAAAUAUGUUUCAUAAAAGAGAGGGAGGUAGAGAGAAAGAGAGGAUGGUAGUGGUGGAUCUCCAUUUUCUCCGACCAAUAAGGUGGUGAUGAUAUUAUUCUUUAUCUAAAAAAUUAAAUAACCAAUUGAAAUGAAAUAUUUAACUAACAUACUAUUUUUGAGUAAAAGUUUUUUAGAAAGACAAAUCUGAUGCAAUAGUAGUGCUAACUAUUGCCUGUACUGAAUUUUUGGCUAAAUUUCAAUGAAGUAAUAGAAUUUUCUUUUAAUUUUUUGUGUUUUAUUCUUUUAUCUUUUAAGUUUUUAAAAAAUAGUGUGAUAGUUUUUCUUGUUUUUUCAUCCAUGUUUUUGUUAGAAUCUAAAAAAAAAAGGUAUAAUAAUGGUUUGGUGGAUGGUGGUGGAAGGUGGAGAGAGAGUAUAAAAUCCUAAAAAAAAUUAGAACCUCUGUGCACCCAAUGUGGUAUAAAUUACAAGUAUAAUUAAAAUAUUAAACUUUAUAUUUUUUUAGUAUUGAAAGAUUCAUACAUCUAUUAAGGCCUCAAGCAACUCCGAGCACAUAGCCAAGUCAAAACCUCCUUUACCAAUUGAUUUCUCGUGACGUAUCCUGUUGUAAUCAAAUCCAAAUGACCAUAAAUCCUAGGUUAUGAAGUAUAAGGCCCACCAAAUGAUAGAUAUUUGAGUUAGCUUUCCAACACAUUCAGUUUUGCCUUAACCAAUACUAGAGUAAAAAGUUAUGUCUAUUUUACUGAACCUCUGUCAAUGUUGUCCAUGAGCUAUGAAUUUGAUCCACAACCCGUGGAUUCAACUCAUGGCCAGUGAGUUCAAGUCGUGAGUCGGGUCCUAAAAGCUAAAAAAAAUAGUCUGAUUUUCAUGCCUCGGACCCACUACCCAUGAGCCUAACCCACGGUCCAUGAGUUCAGGUCAUGAGUUGGGUUUUGAAGGCCAUAAAACUAUCUGAUUUCCACGGGUUGGACCCACAAGUCGUGGAUCAAACCCAUGGCAUGUGGACCAAAACAUGGGAACUUGUUUCUAGAAAUUCUUUUUUUGGGUAAGCUUAGGGGCAUUUUGGUCAUUUUUCUUAUGAGGUCCAACCGUUAUAUACUCAAAAUCCCUUCUAAACAAUCAGUUAUGAUCUUUUCAAAAAGAAUAUGAAUAGAAACUUUUCCUCCUUCACCAAAAAAUAUUCUAAGAGGCAAAAACAUUUAGGGUUCAAGAUUCAAGGCUCAGAUUCAAGCUCUGUUCAUCUAAAAGGCACGUUGAACACUUCCUACUUCUAUUAUUAUCAUAAAUUAUGGAUUUCAAGUAUCCUUGUGUAGGUUUUAAUUGAUAAGUUAAAACUAGAUUGAGGAGAUUAUUGUGAAAAGUCUUAUAUUGAUUUCUCUUCUUGUUUAAACUUUUAUAAGCAUUAUUAAUGGGUUUUGAGUAGUAAAUACAUUAUAUAAAAAUGGCGAACUUGUUAACAAGGAUUCACAACUUCUAAGAUUGUGCAUGAUAAAAAUAUGACCCUCAACCCAUUUCAAAUUUAUUUUUCAUGGAAAUUAUGGUGUUUACUCUAUCUUUUGAAUAAUGUAAGAUAUAAAAAAUGAUGAAAGGUUAAAUGGAUUUGAAAGCCCUUGGGGGAAAUGUUUAUGAAUUUAAAGACAAAAUUUGGGAGUUUAAAAUAUUAUAUGAAAAUGGUUUGGAAUGUUAUGGAUGGAUUACAGUCUUGAUAUGACGAUACCAAUAUGGGAAUGUCUUAAUUAAAGACUCCAUGAUUAAAGGUUUAUGCAAACAUUUUAAUUGGUCUAAAAGGAGAAUUGUGUGGCUUUAUCGAGAAGGCAUAUGUCCUCAUGACCAACACCUGAAACCUAUGUUUUGCCAACAUAGGGAUGUCGACCUUAAUUGGAUGACGAAUAGGUUUCCUUAAUAUGAGGAUAAUAUGGUGGCUUCAGGCUAUUGGUGACUUUAUCUAAAUCUCAGUACUUGUGGAAAAUAUGGACUGAGGUCCCACUGGUUGGGGAGUACUAGACACAUAUAGCCCGUGGGUUACUAAUUAUCGGUGAAAAGCUACACAAUUCAGGAUUAGAUUUUAAAUGGACAUGUCUUUAUAUCCCAUGUCCCCGGUCCCUUACUUUAUUAUUAUCAUGGAUGAUGAAAAUGAGUUAUGACUUGCUUUAUAAGAUAUUUAUUUCUUUUUUCUUGGGUUGCGUGCUAGGAUUCAUCAUACUGACAGUCCCCGGAUGCUACAUUAUUUUAUGAUGUAGGUUCAGAAGAAUUUUCUCAUGAUUUUGUGAAGCACUAGGGUGUUUGUAUUCUCUCUUGGAUAACUGGUGAGAAGUUAGAGCCCUCUGUCAUUCGGAAGGCGAUUAUACUUUUCACUUAUAUUUACAUGCUGGCAUCUUAUGCUUUUUAUGAUAUAGUCAGGGUCAUGCCUUGACUUAGAUUUAUGAUUAAAGUUAGAGGUUUCGUAGAUGGUGUUGGGUAAUUAUUUGGAUUUCUCAAGGUAUUGACAGUACUUUAUUUUAAGUCUUGAACUUCUUUCUUUAUAGGCUUGUUUCAGCAAUGUUAGAUAUAACUAUGCUUAUGACAUAAUAAUAAGGGUUCAUCUCAAGCCUCCAUUGAUUUGGAAUGUCCGUCGCGGCCAGGUCCAUGGCUCGAGUUAUGAAAAACUUGGUAUCAAAGCCAAGUUCAGGGUCCCAGAGUGUCUAUGAAGUUGGGCCGAGUAAAAUUCUUUAUGGGUGUGUAGCACGCUACACUUAUAAGAUGGAGGCUACGAGGUAUUUAGGAAUGUUUCCCUUCCUUUAUGUUCUAGUUCAUGCUAGAAAGUUCAGUUACAUUGAAUUUUUCUAACUCCUAAUUUUUCUACAUUUCAGAUCAUGCCUCCCCGGAGAUCUAAUGGCCAAAGGAACUCACCCUAGGGGGGCAAAUACUGAGGAGGUCCGCCCAACCUAUGGGAUGUAAGCCCGAAAUAGCCCAGACUCCUAACUUCACUACUCCUCCUGGGGUUUUACCAGCCUCAACCAGUCCUUCCAAGGCUCCUAGGACUGACACCGCCCGUACCUAAUUUCUAUAAGAAGAGGUUUCUAAUACCGAGUUCAAAUAGAUCAUAAUAUGCUAGCUCAGAAUAUAUCGACAUAGUUCCAUGAGUAAGAUAAUGUGGGUCAUGUUAAUGGUUCUUCAGAUGCUUACUUAGGUUGGCUAGUUUAUGCAGCCUAACCUUCUACCUUCACUUGGUCCAAAGCUAAGAAGGACCGUUAAGAGUUUAUUGAUAAAAUGGAUAAAAUCUUUAGGGUGAUGAAUACUAGUGAUACUGAUGGGGUAAAGUUUGUGUCUUAUCAGCUGAGAAGGGUGGCUUAUCAGUGGUAUGAUGAAUGGAAGGUGAUUAGGGGUGAGGAUGUUGAACCUUCUAUAUGGGAGAAUUUUUCUAAUGCCUUUCUUGAUCACUUCUUCCCUCGGAAGCUGAGAGAGGCCAAAGUUGAGGAUUUUGUGAAUUUGAAGUAGCGUAAGAUGAGUAUGAAGGAGUAUGCUAUAAAGUUUACAUAAUUGUUUUAUUAUGCUCCCGAGUUGGUGUCUAACAUAAGGUCCAAAAUAAGGAAAUUUGCUUUAGUCCUUUCCAGUGAUUUGGUGCUAGAGCGUAAGGGUGUCAUGCUGAAUAAUGACAUGGACAUAUCUAGGUUGGGGGUUAUAUGCAAUAAGUAGAGAAUGAUGAAAAAAUAGGUAGAGGUAGAUGAGAUACAUAGUAAAAUAACUAAACAUGCAUAUCAGGAUAUAAGUCAAUAACAUAGUAGGAAAGUGGGCAAACAUUGGUUCAAGAAGAAAUCCUAGGGUAGUUCUCAUCCCUCAGCUAGUGCUCUAGUUCCCAAACUUAUGAGUGAUUAGUAAUUUUAGUCUAGCAAUGGACCUAGGGUGUAAGGUGCCCAAUCUCAGGCCAGUGUAGCUCAGUCGUCACUACCUUACCCUCCUUGUUGUACUUGUAGAAAACUUCACCGUGGUUCUUGUUGUAUGGGAAGGAAUUUGUACUUUGAUUAUGGCCAGCCAAGUCAUAUGCAGUUGGACUACCCUGCAGCUUGGGGUGCAUUUAGGGCUAAAAAAGUCUUGGCUACUACUUCUUCGGGUCAUGCUACAAAGGGUGCUACUUCAGGGAUGGGAAAUAGUCAUAACUAUCUAUAUACACUGUUUACUCAUCAGGAUUCUGAGGUAUCUCCAUAUGUUGUCAUGGCUAUGUUACAUCUUUUCUCCCAUGAUGUUUAUGUAUUGCUUAAUCCUGGUUCCACCCUAUCCUAUGUGACUCCAUAUGUGGAUAUACACUUUGUUUUGGUCCCAAAAGUAUGUCUGGCCCUUUUUUUAGUCUCUACCCCAGUGGGUAAGUCCAUUAUUUCUAGGAGAGUCUAUUGGGGUUAUGUUGUAUCUAUUAUUCAUCGAUAUACUGCGGUAGAUCUGGUAGAGCUUGAUAUAGUGGAUUUUGAUAUGAUCUUGGGGAUAGAUUGGCUCCACUCAUGGUAUCUUACCUUGGACUAUAAAACUAGAAAGGUCAUUUUUUAUUUUUCUAAUGAACCAAUGAUAGAAUGGGAAGGGAUUUCACUAGAUCCGAAGGGGAAAUUCAUUUCUUAUCUUAGAGUUCAAAAGUUGAUAUCAAAAGAGUUUGUAUCAUAUGGUCUGAGUCAAGGAUUCUAACUCUGAAAGCCCCUCCUUGUAAUCUAUUCCUGUGGUUAAUGAGUUUCCUAAAGUCUUUCUCGAUGAAAUUCCUAAAAUUCCUCAUAAUAGGGAGAUAGACUUUGGGAUUGACCUUUUUCUGGAUACAUAUCCCAUAUCCAUUCUAUCAUAUAGAAAGGCUUCUUUAGAGCUGAAAAAUUUAAAGGAAUAGUUAAAAUACCUCCUUGAUAAGGGUUUUAUCUGUCCUAAUGUUUCUCCUUGAGGUGCUCCUGUGUUUUUUGUGCAAAAAAAAGGGUACCUUCGUAUGUGCAUAGACUACCGCCAACUAAAUAAAGUCAUCGUGAAAAAUAAGUACUUCUAGAAUUGAUGAUCUCUUUGACUAGCUUAAAGAAGCUAAAUAUUUCUCUAAAAUAGAUCUUCGUUCGGGUUACCAUCAGUUAAAGAUUAGGAAAGGUGAUAUUCUCAAGACUAUCUUUCAGACCCAUAUGGCCAUUAUGAAUUCUUGGUUUUGUCAUUUGGAUUGACUAAUGCUCCUGCUGCUUUCAUGGACCUUAUGAAUAGGAUGUUUAGAAAGUUUCUAGAUUUGUUCUACAUAGUCCUUAUCGAUAAUAUUUUGGUGUACUCCAAAAGUAAGAAAAUCAUGUCAAUCACCUCUGAAUUGUACAAUAGACCCUUAAGGAUCAAGAGUUGCAUGCAAAAUUUUCUAAGCAUGAGUUCCAGUUGAGUGUUGUGACUUUCCUUGGAAAUGUUGUUUCUACUGAGGGGGUUAAAGUAGUUUCCCAAAAGAUUGAGGCGGUAAAGAAAUGUCCUAGACCCAUGACUCCAACCAAUAUUAGGAGCUUCUUGGGUUUGGUAGGCUAGUAUAGAAGAUUUAUGGAAAGUUUUUCGUCUAUAGAUAUUCCACUUACAAGAUUGAUUCAGAAGAAGGUAAAGUUUCUAUGGUCUGACUCUUAUGAGAAAGGUUUUAUAAGAUUAAAGGAUCGCUUGACUACUGCCCCUUUCUUGACACUUCCCGAAGGUACUCAGCUGUUUAUUGUGCAUUGUGAUGCAUCUUGAGUAGGACAUUGUUGUGUACUGAUGCAACAUGAAAAGGUGUAGCUUAUGCUUCUAGGCAACUUAAGGUUCACAAUAGAAAUUACCCGACUUAUGAUCUUGAGUUAGCGGCAGUGGUAUUUGUAUUGAAAAUUUAGCAUCACUAUUUGUACGGAGUGCGUGUAGAAAUCUACUUGGAUCACAAUAGUCAGCAAUAUAUAUUCACUCAAAAAGAAUUGAACCUCCAGAAGAGGAGGUGACUUGAAUUUCUAAAAUAUUACAACAUGAGUUUGCACUACCACCCAAGUAAAGUUAACCUCGCUGCUGAUUCUCUUAGCAGGUUGUCCAUGGGGAGUCAAUCUCAUGUUGAGGAAAAAAAGAGAGGCUUUGUGAAGGACAUUCACCAAUUGGAUAAUUUGGGAGUCCGACUUUUGGACUCCAAGGAUAAGAGAAGUGAUUUUCCAUGGAGUGGAUAAGUCAUCCCUUGGGGCCGAAUUUAAGAAGAAAUAGGUUCAUAAUCCCAUACUUAUACAAAUCAAGAUAGACAUGGGCCAGCAAAAGUUUAUGGCUUUCAAAAUUGGGGGAUAUGGUGUUCUAAGGUAUCAAGGGAGAUUUUGUGUUCAUGAUAUAGACGAGCUGCGAGAGAGGAUUUUGACCAAAGCUCAUGUGUCCAAAUAUACAAUUCAUCCCGAUUCAACAAAAAUGCAUCAGAAUUUGAAGGAGAUGUAUUAGUAGAAUAACAUAAAGAGAGAUGUUGCUAAUUUUGUUGCCAAGUGUUUGAAAUGUCAGCAAGUUAAGGUUGAACGCUUGAGAUUGGGUGGAACCUCCCAAGAGGUAUUCUUAUCCAUGUGGAAGUGGGAAAUAAUGAACAUGGAUUUUGUCACCAGUCUUUCAAUGUCCCAAAACCAAUAUGAUUCCAUUUGGGUCAUUCUUGGUAGAAUGACCAAUUUCAUCCAUUUUUUGCUUGUGAGAACUAAUUACUCAAGAGAGGAUUAUGUAUAUUUAGGAGUUAGUUCGGUUGCAUGGGACCUCAGUGUCUAUCAUAUCCUAUUGAGGUACGUAAUUUUCUUCUUUGUUUUGGCAGUCUUUUUAGAAAGGGUUGGGGACUCAGGUGAACCUUAGCGCUGCUUUCCACCCUCAAAGUAAUAGGAAAGCGAAGCGUACUAUUUUAAAUUUAGAAGAUAUGCUAAGAGCCUAUGUGAUUGACUUUAAAGGUAGUUGGGUGGAUCACUUGCCACUUAUUGAGUUUAUCUAUAAUAAUAUUUAUCACUCCAGCAUACAAAUAGCUCCUUGUUAGGCCCUUUAUAGUAGAAGGUGUAGGUCUCUUAUUGGAUAGUAUGAGGUGGGUGAGACUAGAGUUCGGGCCUAAUCUUGUGCAUCAAGCGAUGGAGAAAGUCAUGAUUAUACAAGAGAGACUUAAGACCGCUAAAAUCCGCCAAAAGUCUUAUGCGAAUAUGAGACGAAAAGAGUAAGAAUUCGAGGUUGGCGAUUGGAUGUUCCUAAAAAUCUCUCCUAUGAAGGGAGUUAUGAGGUUUGGGAAAAGGGGGAAGCUCAGUACUUACUAUAUUGGUCCAUAUCAGAUUUUAAAAAGAGUUUGAAAUAUUGCUUAUGGAUUGGAGAAAUAUUGCUUAUGGAUUGGACUUACAGGUGAGCUUGGCAUCGAGUCAUCCUAGGUUUCAUGUGCCCAUGCUCAAGAAAUGUGUAGGUGAUCCUUCCUUGGUAGUGCCCGUAAAGAAUAUUGGUGUGAAGUACUCCCUAUCUUUUGAAUAAGUUCCUACGAAAUCCUGGAUAGACAAGUUUGAAAGUUGUGUACCGAGAAGAUAGUUUCAGUAAAGGUGUUGUGGAGAAAUCAAAGAGCGAAGAAAGCUACUUAGGAGUCAGGGGAUGACAUGAAAGCUAGAUAUCCCUUCUUAUUUCCAUCUUCAGACAAGGUUUCUUGAGGUACGAAUCCUACGCUUAUCCUCAAUCUAUUUGAUUUCAUGUUUUCAGUCCUUUUAUGUUCUUCAUUGCAUCGUAUAAAGUCCUCAUUCAGGGACGAAUGAUCCCAAGGGGGAUAAUGUAAGACCCAAAAAUAAUUUAGAACCUCCAUGCAUCCAAUGUGGUAUAAAUUACAAGUACAUGUAAAAAAAAUCAAACUUUAUAUUUUUGUAGUAUUAAAAGUGAUUUAUAUCUAUUAAGGCCUCAAGCAACUCCAUACUCAUAGACAAGUCAAAACCUCCCUUACCAAUUGAUUUCACGUGAAGUAUCUAGCUGUAGUCAACUUCAAACGACCAUAACUCCUAAAUUAUGAUGUAUUUUUUAGAUCAAGACCCACCAAAUUAUGGAUAUUUGAGCUCGCUUCAACACAUCUAGUUUCUCCUUAAUCCGAUGUUAAAGUAAAAAAGUUAUUUCCAUUUUACUUAAGCCCUGUCAAAGUUGUCAGUGACCCACAACUCAUGGAUUCAACUCAUGAUCCGUGAGUUCAAGUCAUGAGUCGGUCCUAAAAUAUGAAAAAUUGGUCUGAUUUUCAUGCCUUUGAACCACGACCCAUAAGUCUAACCUAUGUCUUGUGAGUUCAAUCCGUGAGUUGUGUCAAUCCAUGAGUUGUAUUCUAAGGGCCAUAAAACUUAUCUGAUUUCCACGGGUUGGAUCCAUGAGUCAUGGACCUAACUCACGGCCCAUGGACCAAGCCAUGGGAACCGUUUCUAAAAAAAAAAAAAUUGAUAAUCUUAGAGGCAUUUUGUUCAUUUUUCUUAUGAGGUCCGACCCUUAUAUGCUUAAAACCUCUUUUGAACAAUUAGUUAUGAUCUUUUCAAAAACAAUAUAAAUAGAAACUCUUCCUCCUCCCCUAAAACAUUCUAAUUAGCAAGAACGCCUAAGGUUCAAGAUUCAGAUUCAAGCUUUGCUUAUCUAAAAGGCAUGUUGAACACUCUCUACUUAUAUUAUUAUCAGAAAGUAUGGAUUUCAACUAUUUUUGUGUAUGUUUUAAUUGGUAAUUUGAAACUAGGGUUGAGAAGAUUGUUGUGAAAAGCCUUAUAUUGAUUUCUUUUCUUAUUUUAUGGGUUUUUCUAGGCAUUAUUAAUGGAUUUUAAGCUGUAAAUAUAUUAUAUAAAAAUGGUGAAAUUUUUAACAUGGAGUCACAACUUUUAAGAUUAUAUGCAUCCAAUUUGCUAAAAAAGAAAAAAAAAACCCUGAACCCCAAACCCCCUCUCUUCUCUGGCGAUUUUUUCUUCUCCCUGCGCUUCUCCUUGGCAGCCCUUUCAUGGCGGCUCAGGCCACUGGGCAGCCUCCUUCUAAGGAUGUCCAGCCCACCCCCGCCCUAAAUUACUCACAUAUUCUACAACCCACCAUACAAAAUCUACCAAAACAAUCCAUUCCCGCAAUCCCUAUAAAACCUAUUAUUUUCCAUCAUGGAGAACCCACAGUGCAGUGGAGUUUGGAUGAACUGCAGCACAUGAUAAUUCAUGAAAAUCUCCAAUAUGCAAUUGUUGGAAAAAAAAUUUAUAGCUGGCCAGAUAUUCAUGAUUUACGGAAGUUGAUUCCAAGCCAAUGUGAAAUAAAAGGAGACUGCAGUAUUGGUUUUCUUUGCAAUCAUCAUGUGCUAAUCAGAUGUACGCAACUUGAAGAUUAUAUUCAACUGCUAUCUAAACCAGCAUACUACAUCAAGGAUAAGCAUAUGUAUCAUCAGAUGAAGCCGCUAAAGUGGGACCCUUGGUUUAACCCGGUGGAAGAGAUGUCAAUUGCGAUGGCAUGGAUUUCUCUUCCUACUUUACCACCUCAUUAUUUUGUGAAGGAGGCACUUUUUUCUUUAUCUUCUACUGUAGUUAAGCCACUCCAAGUUGAUUUAGCUACAAAAAAUAAAAUGCGGCAAAGUUGUGCACGUGUAAAGGUGGAAGUUGAUUUGCUGGCAUAUUACCCAAAGAGAGUCCAAAUCUAAUGUGUUAAUCCUUCUACUGGAGAAAUAAGGUCCAAGUGGAUAAAAAUUAAAUAUGAUUUUAUGCCAAAGUAUUGCAAACAUUGUUGUUUGCAGGGACAUGACGAAGAGGGGGGUGUAGAGUUCUUCACCCUGGACAUAUUUCGAUUGAGAAGGAACAAGAAGAUGGUGAUAGUGUCAAGCAAACUGAUCAACAUGCUGCUGCUGGACACAUUGAUCAGGUGACAGAAAAAAAUCAAGCAAUUACUGGUGCAAAUCCAAAUCGAGGUUAAGGAUAACCUGUUAUGAACGGGAAAAAUUCUAAUGCUCCAAUUAGAAUUUUAUCGAGCGACAAGGUUGUUGGGAAUAUUCAAAAGACCUGGCAAUGGAGUAAAGGCCAAACUCAACCCACUUUGGUUGAUAAUAGCAUAAAUCAAAAUUUAAAAAGUGGAAAUAGUGUAGUUACAAGAAAGGAACUGGAAGUUGGUAAGGGACCAGGUGCGCCCCUUCAAACUUUAAACAAAUAUGCUGCUUUGGGGAAUGGCAAUGGAGAGAAUAAUCAACUAGAUGAGGUGCCACACAAAAUUGUUACAGCUGAAGCAGUUCAUACUACUAACGCAAGUAAUGUGGAUAAGAAUUUAAAUGCAAAUGCCUCUGUGCUUAAGCCAAGAAAUACAACUGGUUCUCCUUCUAAGGAGAAGAGCACUAAAGAGUGGCUAACUUCUACCUUUGCCAAAGAAAAUGGGGGUCAAUUGGUUACUACUAACCAGUCUUGCCAAGAAAUCCCGUCUCAAACAUAUGAGACGACCACAAAGGAAGGAGACAAGGAAAUAGAAGAAGGUGAAGUACAUGAUCGUAAUGUUGAUGAACAUGGCGAUGAUCAGAAUCAAAUAAAUAGUCAGGUUAAAGGUGUUGAUACCAGCCACAAAAUGCUAUAAGCAGCAGCGUUAGUUUCAGGGGCGACAGUGAAAGAACCUGAAAUAAUUUCCAAGGAAGAUGCAGGUGCGAAUCCGAUAGUGCAGCAAGAUGAUAUAAUUGUUACUACGAAUGCAGCUGGUCAUGAGAAUGAGAAGGAAGCAAAGACGACUGAUUUUAAUAAUGUUGUUGAAGUGCUACCAGAUGCUCCAGAUUGUGAGGACCCUCGGUUUGUGAAGCGUGAUGCUAAAAAUUCAAAUAAGAAGGGGAAGGGGAAAAAUAGCAGUAACAAUAACCAGGAAAAGUCGGGCAAAACAGAAUUGACAAAGCAAUUCCAAGAAAUCUCAGGGAUAGCUUGUUUCACCUAACGUUACUCUUCCAGUUAUUUCAGAGUGCUAGGCCAGGGAAUGAAGAUAACGAAUUUACAGGCAUUGAUUGAGAUGAGGAAUCCACCGCUCAAAAUUUCCAAAAUAUUGCUAGGGAAGGGGAUUUAUCUCCGAGGCAAAUAGAGAAAGGAAAAUCUGGUGGUAAACAAAGGAAAAAGCAAAGAGACAGCAACGUACCAACUUCAGGUAUGCAAACGAGGAGAAGUACAUCUAAAUCCAAUAUGUAGCUAUGAAUAACGCUCUUAUUUGGAAUAUUAGAUCAGUACACACUAAUAAAGCUUUUAAAAGGCAUAAAAAGUACCAGUUUUAUCUCAUUGGUUUGUUAGAACCCUUUCAACAUGCCCAUAAAAUUGAGAAGUACAGGAGGAGGUUGGGGAUACCUACUGCUUUGUCAAAUAUUAAUGGGAAAAUAUGGACUUUUGUGGAUGAGAAUUGCAAGGUGACAGUGCUCAUGGAUAUGGAGUAGCAACUUUCAUUGAAGUUAUUCAAUAAUGAACUCGGCAAGCAGAUAAUAAUUACACUUAUUUACGCAAAGUGUGAUUCGGUGGAGCGGUUGCUUUGUGGGAUUCACUGCAUUUGUUGGGAUCUGGUAUGAGUGAUCCUUGGCUAGUCGCAGGUGAUUUUAAUGUCAUUGUUGAUGAGGAGGAAAAAUAUGGAGGGCUCCCAGUAUCCAUCGGUGAAGUAGAAGAUUUUAGGUACUGCAUUCAAAUAUGUAAUUUAUCUAAUUUGGGCUUCAAGGGAAACAUUUUUUACAUGGUGGAAUGGUCGGACAAACGAAGCUUGUAUUUUUAAGAGAUUGGAUAGGUGCUUGGGUAAUUUUGAAUUCCAACAGAUAUUUUCGGGAUGUGAUGUGACUCACCUGAUUAGAUUUGGCUCGGAUCACUCUCCGUUAUUGCUUGAGUGCAAGGUUAACAGUCCACAAAUUAAUAAAUCAUUCAAAUUUCUAAAUUUUUGGACAACUCACGGGAGCUUUCUGGAUGUGGUGCGUCAAAACUGGAAUUCUGAAUUUGUGGGUAAUCCUUUUGUUCAGUUUAAUCUGAAGUUGAAGAAUAUGAAGAAAAUUCUAUCAAGUUGGAGCAAAGCAACCUACGGAGACAUCUUUCAGAAAAUUGCUAAUAUGGAGGAUGUGAUCAAGGUUCUGGAAGUUCAAUUCGAACUCGAUCCUUCACAGCAGAAUAGACAGAGUUUGUUAAAGGCCCAAGUAGAAUUGACUAGAGUGAUGCAUAUUGAAGAUGAAUUUUGGAAGCAAAAAUAAAAUAUGAGUUGGUUUCAAGAGGGCGACAGGAAUUCUAGAUUCUUUCAUGCACAAGUGAAUGGCAGAAGAAGAAGGAUGCAGAUAAAGAGAAUCCAACAAGAUGGUCAGUGGCUAGAAUCAACUGAGGAAGUAGCCGCUGCUGCUGUGAUUUUUUUCCAAAAAAAAUUCAUAGAAGAAAGCGUUCCAUCAGACUUUGAUAUUCUAAAACAUGUCCCUGGCAUGAUCAACAUAGAGCAAAAUGAAGAUCUGGUUGCCUGGCCAACGAAUAAAGAAGUCAAGAAUGUAGUUUUUGGCUUGAAUGGUGAUAGCGCUGGAGGUCCUGAUGGUUAUACUGGAAAAUUCUUCCAAUGUUUCUGGGAAAUAGUAAGAGACGAUGUGUGCGCAAUAGUUGCGGAAUUUUUUGGAGGUCGGCAGCUGCCUAGAUUUAUUACUCACACGAAUCUUGCAUUGCUACCAAAGAAGAAGGAGGUGAUCACAUUCUCUGACAUGAGGCCAAUAAGCCUAAGCAACUUCAUCAACAAAAUCUUUUCAAGAGUAAUUCAUGAUAAAUUAGUUGGCGUUUUACCCAAGUUGAUAUCUUCCAAUCAUGCCGUCUUUGUGAAGGGCAGAAGCAUUGUAGAGAACAUCUUACUUGCCCAAGAGAUAGUCACCAACAUCAAAUUGAGGACAAAGGCAGGGCCUAAUGUAGUCAUAAAGCUUGAUAUGCAGAAAGCCUAUGACAGAUUAUCGUGGUUUUUCUUAACGAAAGCUCUAAGGAAGAUGGGGUUCAGCGAGAGGUUUAUCGGCAUGAUUUGUGAUAUAGUGAGUAACAAUUGGUACUCUAUUUUGGUAAAUAGGCAUCCGUAUGGUUUCUUUAAAUCUUUCAGGGGAGGGGAGUAAUAUAGGGGGAUCCGCUGUCUCCCACAUUAUUUAUUUAGCUGCGGAGGUAAUGUCUAGGGGUCUGAAUUCUCCGCAUAGUGAUUUGUAUUUUUGCGGCUUUUGUCUUCCUAAAUGGAGUCCAAAAAUUAAUCACCUAGCUUAUGCAGACGACACCAUCAUUUUGUCUUCUUCCUGCCCUAUUUCCUUACAGUUGAUUAUAGAGGUGCUCACAGAGUAUGAGAAGGCCUUUGGGCAGAAAGUCAACAAGGAGAAAAGUCUAGUAUAUAUGCAUCACUUGGCGGAUCCUGUAGUGAUGGAAAGGGUGCAGCUUGUUACCGGGAUUAGUAGAUAGGAAUUUCCUUUGACAUACUUAGGAUGUCCAAUUUUUUAUAGCAAGCAAAACAUAUCAUUUUACUCGGUCCUUAUUCAAAAAGUGCUGGGUAGAUUGCUAUUCUCGAAAGGGAAAUUACUUUCUCACGGGAGAAGAGCAGUUCUUAUUUCUCAUGUGUGACAAAGCAUGCUGAUUCAUUUGUUAUCGGUCGUCGACCCUCCUGAUUAUGUAAUUGAAAAAUUACAUAAGAUUUUUGCUCAAUUCUUUUGGAGCAACUCGGUGGGCGAUAGAAGCAGUCAUUGGGCAAAAUGGUUGGAGCUGUGUUGGCCACAGAAUAAAGGCGGCUUGGGGUUCAGGUCCAUGUUCGAUGUGUCAAAGGCUUUAUUUGCCAAAUUGUGGUGUAAAUUUAGGAUGAAACCAUCCUUGUGGAGCGCUUUCAUGAGUAACAAAUAUUCUAAGAAGAUUAAUCCGGUAAUUGUAUUAUGGAAGGAAGGGUCACACGUUUGGAGGAAAAUGUUGGAAGCUAGGGAUUUGAUUGAGCAUCAGAUUUAUUGGAAGCCUAGGAUGGGAUCUUCUCAAUUUUGGUUUGAUAAUUGGAUGGGGCUUGGAGCAUUAUAUCACGUCACUUCAUCUGAUUUUUAUUAUGAUGAGUCGAUUCUUAAUGUGGCUAUUGUCGUUAGUGAUAACAGGUGGAACGAACAAUUGUUGAGGAAUAUUUUGCCUGCUGAUUUAGCUGAAUACAUAAUAGAAAAUAUCCAAGUUCCAUCAUAGUUGCAGGAACUGGAUACACCAUACUGGAUGCUCGAGACUAUCGGAGAAUUCUCUGUAAAAUCUGCUUGGGAUUAUAUUAGAUUGAGGGGUGUAAAAUCUAAUAUAUACAAGUACAUGUGGAUAAAGGAGAUGCCUUAUAAAAUCGCAUUCAUGAUGUGGAGAUCGUGGAAGUUUAAAAUUCCAUUGGACGAUGGCGUGAAGAAUAUUGGAUUUAGCUUGGCGUCAAGGUAUAGUUGCGGCACCAGGCCGCAAGAGGAGACAUUUGGCCAUGUGUUCCUGAAAGAACCUAUCGCUAAAAUAACCUGGGAAUAUUUUAAUUUAUAUGCAGGUAUUUCCAUUGGAGGACUACAACUUCAACAGGUUAUUCUUAAAUGGUGAGAUGCUCCUGUUCUUCCAAGACUCCAACCAAUCUUUUGCGCAGUUUCGACCAUAAUCAUUUGGGAGCUGUGGAAGAAAAGAAAUAGCAACAAGCACGGAGAGAAGGUGACUGUCAAUAGAAUUAUCUACCAGGUUUAUCACACCCUUCAGAUGCUUGUCAAGGUAGAAAACCAUCAAUCAAGCAGGUUCCACAUAGAUGGCCAGACAUAAUCCGAGUCUUGGAAAAAUUUAUGCCAGCGUUGAAGGUUACUCAGGUGCGUUGGAAUCUACCUCCGAAUAAUUGGUUAAAAUACAAUAUGGAUGGCGUCUCCAGAGGUAAUCCAGGUAGAAUUUCCUAUGCAUUUUGUAUUAGAGAUCCUCUUGGUGAUUUGAUAUAUGCAGAAGCUAAGGAAAUUGCGGAAGGCACAAACACAUUUUAGAGAUUAUUGCAAUUUUGGAGGCCGCUCGAUAUUGCGUAGCUCAUAAUGUGUUCAAUUUGAUAUUAGAAACUGAUUCUCUGUUCCUAAAAAACAUAAUUACGGGUACCUGGAAGCCGCCAUGGAGUGUAACUGCGGAACUAGAAGAAAUAGGUGAGCUACUGGAGAAUCUAAACAUCCAAGUAACUCAUAUUAUGAGGGAAGACAACCAGCUUGUGGACUACUUGGUAAAUAGUGCACUAGAACGUGGCGACAUUAUAGUGCACUUAUUCAACGAGCUGGACUCGCAAGGAAGGAAGAUAAUUAAUAGCGACAAGUUUCAAUGUCCAUAUUUAUGAGUACGCGCUGCAAGAAAAGGAUGAUGGAGUGGAGAUACUAUUUUAUGGGGUUGUGCUACUGUUUUAACCCCAUAAUGAUGUUCGCGAGAUAGAAAUCAGUUGUACAUCGUGUUAAUAUCUAGACGAGGAAAAUUGAUAACUCGGUGGUUGAUUUAUACUCGUUUAGCUCAAGUUAACAAGCUGCAAGCGGAAUAGACAUUUCUACCAGGGUUUUAGUUACCGAGAUAGUGCGUAGAAGUUUGGAGUGUGGCUCGAUAUGCCUUGCAGAGAAAUGGUGUGGUAAGAGGAGAAGGAUGGAGAAAGUAAUGUAUCGACAUGUUAAGGAGGAGAGCAUGGAGAUGAACUUUAUUUCUAACAUCAUUUUCUUCCUUGCAGGUUACAAUAUGCUACGCAAAUUUUAUUUUUUAAUUAUUUCUUAAUGUGUGGUAUUAGCAUUUGCUGUUCAUUCCAUUGAGAAAAUAUUAAUAAAUGGAAUUAGCAUAGCUUGGAAAUGCAAAUUCAUCCUUUUUCUGGUGAUCUUACUCUUCUGGGAAGUGGUGACUGUUUUAUGGGGUUGUUUCACUGUUAUAACCCAAAAAUGGAGCUCAAGAUUGAUGGAAAUCAUUUUUGCAUCAUAACGAGAAAAUUGAUAACUUGUUGCUCAAUUAAUACUCGCUUAGCUCAAUUAAACAUGUUGCCAGGUUGCGGAAUUGAGGCUUCUGCCAGUGGAUUUUGCAUUAUGCUAAUAUGUAGAUGAGGACAAUUGAUAACGUGUUGUUUGAUUUGUACUUGUUUAUGCGGAAUGGAGGCUGCUGCCAGGGGUCUAUUUACCAAGAUAGUACGUACAAUUUUGGGGCGUGUCUUGAUAUGCCUUGCUGGAAAAUGUUGUUGCAAGAAGAGGAUGAGGGAUAAAAUAAUAUAUCACCAUGUUCAAGUCCUUUGAGAGGAGAGCAUGGAGAUAAUUUUUAUUUCUAACAUUGUUUUCUUUUUGGCAGGUUACAAUAUUUUGUGCCAUUCUAUUUGUUAAUUUUUUCUCAAUGUGUGGUAUUAGCACUUGUUGCUCAUUCUGUUGAGAAAAUAUUAAAAAAUGAAAGUAGCAUAACAUGGAAAUGGAAAUGCAUUUUCCUUUCCAGUGAUCGUACUCUUAGGUUGGACAAACUUUUGUCCAAUGUUUGUUACUACUCCAUUGAUCCUACAUUUGAAGGAAAUGAUAUGGCCUGCUCGUGUUCCAAUUUCGAUAAAGUUUAUUGUUCCAUUGAAUCUAUUUCAAAAGGUGAUGAUUUGAUGCAAACUAGAUCGAUAAAUUGGUACAUGAGAAUUUUUAUCUUGCAAGUGGAGAUGCUCAAAACUUAUUCAAAUUACAUAAGAGAAGAUACGUCAACACAUUUGCACACCAAGAGUUCCAUAAUUAGGAUAUAUUUUUGUCGACUAAAUUGGUCUUUACUUGGUUCAUAUUUCAGCAAAUAUACUUGUCACUGCCCAGGUGGUUUUGCUAGCAUUUUGAACUGCGUUGAAGAUCAAAAUAUGAUGACAAAAGAUGUGAUUCUAACAUAGGAGAAUAUGAUGACAAAAGAUGUGAUUCUAACAUAGGAGAUGCAGCAGCGACUGAAGAAACCAACAAACGUCAAUGUCGUGAGGCUUCAAAACAACGCUGCCAAGGAGCUUACAACAAGAAUCGAUGCCGUGAGUCUUCAAAACAACACUACCAAGGAACAUCAAAGUUAGCUAAGGCAAGAUGGAAAUUCAGUUCAUGGACAAUACAUCACUCAAAUAUUAGUUUUGCAAAUUUAGCCUCUUUUAUUCACUCAUAUUGUAACACCAGAUUAAGGCAUUCUGUAAGUCUUAUUUUGGUCAUUAGCUUAGUUUUUGACUUCAGUUUAAAGCUUUCGCUACAUUUGUAAUAAUUUUUUAUUUGAAAAAUUUUAUAAAAAGAACCUAGGCACCUUGCCUAGAGGAAUUUGUUAAAAAAAAAAAAAGAUUAUACAUCAUGAAAAUAUGGCCCUCAACACAUUUC
rnacentral:lncRNA from 1 species